AGUGAACGCUGGCGGUAGGCCUAACACAUGCAAGUCGAACGGCAGCACAGUAAGAGCUUGCUCUUACGGGUGGCGAGUGGCGGACGGGUGAGGAAUACAUCGGAAUCUACUUUUUCGUGGGGGAUAACGUAGGGAAACUUACGCUAAUACCGCAUACGACCUACGGGUGAAAGCAGGGGAUCUUCGGACCUUGCGCGAUUGAAUGAGCCGAUGUCGGAUUAGCUAGUUGGCGGGGUAAAGGCCCACCAAGGCGACGAUCCGUAGCUGGUCUGAGAGGAUGAUCAGCCACACGGAAACUGAGACACGUACCAGAACCCAACGGGGGGCAGCAGUGGGAAAUAUUGGACAAUGGGCGCAAGCCUGAUCCAGCCAUACCGCGUGGGUGAAGAAGGCCUUCGGGUUGUAAAGCCCUUUUGUUGGGAAAAAAAAGCAGCAGGUUAAUACCCCGCUGUUCUGACGGUACCCAAAGAAUAAGCACCGGCUAACUUCGU
rnacentral:rRNA from 1 species